rnacentral:rRNA from 1 species
UACAGAGACCUCAAGCGUUAUCCGGAUUUAUUGGGCGUAAAGCGUUCGUAGGCGGUUUUGUAAGUCGUUUGUUAAAUCCUCAGGCUUAACUUGGGGGCAGCAGGCGAUACUGCAAGGCUGGAGUAUGGGAGAGGCAAGCGGAAUGCCCGGUGUAGCGGUAAAAUGCGUUAAUAUCGGGUAGAACACCAAAGGCGAAGGCAGCUUGCUGGAACAUCACUGACGCUGAAGAACGAAAGCAUGGGUAGCGAAAGGG